CGAGAAGACACGAGUCGAGACGAGUAGACACGAAGAUACAAGAAGAUACGAGAAGACACGAGUCCAGUUCACGGUUCAACACGUUGAACGUUGUGAACCUCGUUAAUGCACAAGUUGUCAAGUUACAACGAACUGUCGAGACGAUUUGUGUCGAGUGAACCACGUGGGUCCUGAAGAAGAGGAGACUCGAACCUUCACUGUGAAGACUGAAGGUGAAUGUUGAACUGUGUGGAAGAAGAUGAUCAGACAGACACGGACUCAGUGAUGUUGACCUGCCUGGCCCUUCACCGGGGCCCUUCACCGGGGCCCUUCACCUGGGUUCAUAUCAAGCAGGAUGAUUUGCUCCUGAACGUGGAGAAAGAGAGGAUCUGGACAAAGGGGCGGAGCCAGGGAUGUUUCAUUUCUUUCUUUAACAUUUUUUAACAUGAUGAUUCAGAGAAUAAUUCAUGGAUUUUGAUGAAUGAGACCAAACAAUGUAACAUAGUUUGUAAAGAUAUGAAUGAUGAUUACCACCGUUAAUAUCCUGACAUCCAGUGUGUUGUAUGGAAAGUAGCUUCUUAGGAAAAUAUCAUUCUUUACAUAAAAACAAUAACAGAGCAUUUCUGUUCAUUGUACAGUUAAUUUUUCUGUCAAUCGUGUGAUGGUUGGUCUGUAGGUGAGUGGGUCUGUUGUUCUGUUGCUCGGUCCAUUGAUCCGUUGAUCGGUCUGUCGAUCCGUUGCUCCGUCGAUCCGGUCCGUUGCUCCGUCGAUCCGGUCCGUUGCUCCGUCUGUUGGUCCGUUGGUCCGUCUGUUGGUCCGUCUGUCGGCCCGUCAAACAUAGUUUGUAAAGAUACGAAUGAUGAUUACCACCGUUAAUAUCCUGACAUCCAGUGUGUUGUAUGGAAAGUAGCUUCU